GAUGAACGCUGGCGGCGUGCCUAAUACAUGCAAGUCGAGCGAACGGACGAUAAGCUUUCUUCUCUGAUGUUAGCGGCGGACGGGUGAGUAACACGUGGAUAACCUACUUAUAAUACUGGGAUAACUUCGGGAAACCGGAGCUACUACCGGCUAAUAUUUUGAACCGCUUGGUUCAAAAGUGAAAGGCGGUCUUGCUGUCACUUUUAGAUGGAUCCGCGCUGCAUUAGCUAGUUGGUAAGGUAACGGCUUACCAAGGCAACGAUGCAUAGCCGACCUGAGAGGGUGAUCGGCCACACUGGAACUGAGACACGGUCCAGACUCCUACGGGAGGCAGCAGUAGGGAAUAUUCGGCAAUGGGCGAAAGCCUGACGGAGCAACGCCGCGUGAGUGAUGAAGGUCUUCGGAUCGUAAAACUCUGUUAUUAGGGAAGAACAUAUGUGUAAGUAACUGUGCACAUCUUGACGGUACCUAAUCAGAAAGCCACGGCUAACUACGUG
rnacentral:rRNA from 1 species